rnacentral:lncRNA from 1 species
AUUGUCAACACUUUUUCAGGAUUUUUUUAAAAAGUGCUCUCUAGACCCAGUGAGGAGCUCAAAUUCAGAACCCGGAGACCUCUCCGUCACAGGCUCCAUCGACCGAGCCAGCCAGAUGCCCCAAUUUCAGUGAGUUUUAGUCCAUUCUUGUUGCCUCAUUUUAGUGUGGAGCUCUCCCUUUUAUUUUGGUUGUUAUUCAUGAAUUACUCCUAGUUAUAGUUUCUCAAAAACUGGUUAUAUUAAAUCACCUGAUGUGUCUGUGCACAUUUUCCAGGAUGUGUGUACCUCGACAGGAGACAACGCUGCGUUCGGCCAGCGUCUCUGAACCCAAGUGCACUUCCUGCUGGAACCGAGGCCCUGAGCGGAGAUUACGGCGCUCCUGCAAUUUCAUCCUCUCUCGCGCUCCGAUCAGAUAUGUCGAGCAUUGACAGCAAAUUUGAACACAUGUUUCUCCUGUAGAUUUUGACAGAGUGCUGUUAUUUCCUGUAUAGGAACAGUCCAAUUUCCUGCUCACCGUUCGGGUUUUUCGUGCCUGGGCCGCAGGAUAAAAUCUCCUGGCCACCCUGAGUGUGGUUUGAACCCUGGAGAUGUCUGAUGAAGGAUGUGAUUGGAUCCAUUCUUUCCACCCCAAACUUAAUGUCGAAAUGAUUACUCAUCUCUGUUCAUAAAGCUGAUAUUGCAUGCCGAGGCUGGAAAUACAGAAAUCUAAUUAAAACCUCCGCCACCGAGCAGGGCCGGCUAACAAAGCGCCAACGCUCCAAGCCUCUUUGUCCAUCGACGACCACGUCAUGCUGCACGGUGCUUGGUAUUCUGGCCAGAGCCCGGGAGCACGAGCCUCAUCCCACAGCCGAGGAGAGGAAGCCUUUGCAGUGACGUAAGACCAAGACAGCGCAGUGCGGCCACCACCCGUGUGGUGCCCCUGCACGCAGGGACCUCCAGUCCUCCGAAGACCGACCCACUGUUCUCGGGGCACCUGCUGCAGGAAAGGGCAAGGACUGCAGAUGUUUGGUUAUUAACAUGGAUUUCCGCUUGUGUCUGUGAAAGGAAGCUCUUCUGUGUGGCUUGCGUUCCUAGAAAAAUGAAAACCAUUACCAUCGUGGAGUUCACAAGGAGCUCACAAUCGUCUGAUUGACCACCGAGGAAUGUUUCCAGGUGCCAAAGACUUGGAACAGAUGCCCGGUGACUGAGCCAGGACAGACCACAUGCCGGGACACUGAGGACCUGGAGGAGGACUCACGAGGGGGGAGGGAGGAGGAUGGGUUCACUGAGGAGCAGCCUGCGGGCUUCCGAGGUAGUGGGUUCUGUGCCAUUUUGAUGACAAAAAAAAGCACUUGUUGGUGUUUUUUUUUUUUUUUUUUAAAUAUUGUUAUUUGAAAAUCUCAGUAGAAAAUAAAGGCAGUGGAAAGCAGGCUCUAGUUGUUCA